rnacentral:SRP_RNA from 1 species
UGCUGUAACGGCUCUUUAGGAAGAGUAGAUGUUUCUUCAUACACAGUUUCGACUCCACAUCCGAAUAUUGUCCCGCUUGAAUCCCGCGAUUGGUUGCACGUAGCCAUUUGAUUAAUCAAUGUCGCUCGGUUUCCGGUUUAAGUUUGAAGAUUACGCUUGAGGGUAGAAAUAUCGCAGAGAGAUCUUCGUCGUGGUUCGAUUGCGAGUGGGAUGGCAGUAAUUCGGAUCGUUGAAAUUUGGAGAUAGUCUGGUCAACCUUUUUU